rnacentral:rRNA from 2 species
UACGUAGGGGGCAAGCGUUGUCCGGAUUUACUGGGUGUAAAGGGCGCGCAGGCGGGAUAGCAAGUCAGAGGUGAAAUCCUACAGCUUAACUGUAGAACUGCCUUUGAUACUGUUAUUCUUGAGUUCGGGAGAGAGAGACGGAAUUCCAGGUGUAGUGGUGAAAUACGUAGAUAUCUGGAAGAACACCAGUUGCGAAGGCGGUCUCUUGGUCCGAUACUGACGCUGAGGCGCGAAAGCGUGGGGAGCAAACAGG